CACCAGUGUAGCCAAGUAGUCCCAGGUGUUGGAUUAAGGCUCCAAUCUCUUCUGGUACAUGGGUUCAACUUCUACCACUGCCGG